UUGGGUGGUGACAGUGCUAAGAUGAAAAAUAAGUUGAGGUGAGGGAAUGCAAAUUUGUGUGUGGGGAGGGGAUACUAUAGAAAUAGAGAAGGGUCAGGGAGGGCAGAGUCCUGAAAGAACUGAGUACUGGAAGAGCUUGAGAAGGAUUGAUGUUAAUUUUUCUUUAAAUAUUUAGUAGAAUUCACCUGUGAAGACAUCUGGUCCUGGACCUUUUUUCGUAGGGAAGUUUGAUGAGUGAUUCACUCUCUUUACUUGGUAUAGGUCUGUUGUGGUUUCUAUUUCUUCUUGAGUCAGUUUAGGUAAUUUGUGUGUUUCUAAGAAUUUGCUAUUUUUUAUAAAUUAUCAAAUUUGUUGGUGUACAGUUUUUCAUAGUAUUCUCUCCUAAUACUUUUUAUUUCUUUACAGUUGGUUGUAAUGUCCCCACUUGCAUUUCAUUUUAUUUCAUUUUUUCUUUGUCAGCCUACCUGAAGGUUUGUCAAGUUUUGAAGUGCGUAACUGAGCCACGGUGUUGUCUAGUGGCUAGCAUUUUAGGCCAGAAAGAAUCCGGGGCAGGGAUGAGGGCAAGCGGAGACGCCACAUGAAGAGCCUCGGAGGAAUCGUCUGGAGAGCCCGAGCCAGGUACAGUCUGAUCAGCAACAAGAGGCCGUCCUGCUCUUUAGCAGAGUCAACUCACUGGCAGGGGAAGGACCUGGGAUUCGAAUCUGCGACUUGAGAAUGGAAACUGCUCACUCGAGGCCAAGCCUCCUCCCUCCGCAGGGAUCCACGUGGGAGCAAGGGCUCAGCUUAGCAUGGUAACCACGUGUUGGUGGCCUUUUGAACGAGGGCAUUUCUAGGGCACGAGGGACAAAUGGUUGAUUCGGUGGGCCACCCACCAGACAGCUAGGAAGUGAAGUGGACUUGACACCAAAUAAUUUCAUAUUCGAAUUUUCUUUUCCUCCAAAUCUACCCACUGAGAAGUCCUAGGGCAGGAAGGGACCUGAAAAGAAUGUCAGGAUGGAAGCUAUGAAUGUCUUUCUUUUGCCUUUUUUUUUUUUGAAGAGCCUUAUCUAAAGCUCCCUAGAUCUGCUUCCAUCUUAUACAGGAAAGUGAGUGAGUCUCACGUCCUCCAUUAGAAAACCAUCUCCAUAGGUCAAAAGAGCCAAAGGACUCUGGGGUUCUAUUUACAUCUUCAAAAAGCAAAAUUCAUUGCUAAGUUCAACACCCAUUCUUCUUUCACGGACCCUAAUUAAACUUGCACUUAUCAUCUUUUUCUCUGGCUUGUGUGACCCCGAAAACUCACGAGUGCCUUGUUGAGACGCUCACGUGCUGCCCUCUCUCCGCGUCCCACAAUCUGUGAGCUCUGCUGAUCCCGGUCCUCGCACAGGAAUCAGGUAAGGAAGAAGUCUCUGUGCCCAAGAGGUAAGUAG
rnacentral:lncRNA from 1 species